ensembl:lncRNA
AUGCACAAAUGUAUUAAAGGAACUGGAAAGAAGAAAAUGAGUCAAAAGAGUGUUGUUGCUUCAAGUUCUGAAAUGGAGAGUGGGAAAAGGCAUUUUAAGCUCACUGCAAAGGCUUUGUACAGCAAAAUUGAAAAGCUUCAAAGUGAAAGGAAAAUAAGUGUGAAUAAAAUUAAAAGGUUCAUACCACAAAUUAAAUCAUUCAUGAAGAAAAAGGAAAAUGUUUCACUGGUACAAUCUCUUUUGGAGAGUUUAACUGAACAGUGUGGAAAUGCCACCAAGUCACAUAACAUGCUGAUUCCUUUACUCCCUGAGGAGGAACAGAGGAAACAUAAUGAAUGGUUUUCUAGUAUUAUGGGCUACAGCAACACAUUUCAAAGAGACGUUGAGCAGUGGUUGAAUGAACCAGAGAAACUACUUGUGUUACAUGAUCAAGAUUCUGGUGAAAUGAAUGAACAGGUAUUUCUUCCAGCACCUGAAGAAACACAGCUACAGGCUGCUUCCAUAAUUAAUACAGAUGAUCUGCAAGACAACAUAAAACCAAAUGACAGUGUGUCAAAUGUGGGAAGCAGAGCGUCUAAAUCACAAAACUCUGCUACAGGAAGAGAGUCUGUUGCUUCCAGUAUUGCUUCUGCACGUCUCAGAGCAGAGGCUGACUUGGCAGCUUUAAGGAUGAGACAAAAAUUAUUAAAAGACAAACAUGAACUGGAAGAAGAGGAGGAGCGGAUACGUAAAAAGAAGGAGCAACUUAAAUUGGAUGAGGAAAUUGCAGCAAACAUGGCUAAACUGAAUGUGCUCAAGUCUCGGAGCAUCUUAAGUGGGAAAACCUCUGUGUCAAAGCGCUCAGAUGGAAUGAACUCCUAUCUGGAAAAAGGACAAGGAAAAACACAGACCCUCAGUGCGAAAGCAAAGUCAUUUGCACCACAAAGCUCACAACAUGAAUACAACUAUAUUCAUCUGGAUGCAGGAUCAAGACCUAAGGAGAAAAAUCCAUCUCAGUUAAUUCAUUCAUAUGAAUCCAACCUAUAUGCAGUGAAUCACAGUACUCAAGAAGGGAUGCAAAUGCAAGAUGGAAAUGCCUUAAAUGUAAAUAUUGGUCCAAAUGAAGAUCAAAGCAAUAUGUUUGGCAUUAUGAGCAAACAAAAUGAAAUAACAUCACUGUUGGUACAGCAGCAAUGCCUUUCAUCUUUGCCUAAGAGGGAGAUACCAAUUUUUGAUGGUGAUCCAUUAAAAUAUCAUGCAUUUGUGAAGGCCUUCGAGAACGGUGUAGAGAGGAACACUGCAAAUCACAGUGACAGACUGUAUUUCUUGGAACAGCACACAAGGGGUCACUCCAAAGAACUGAUCGGAAGCUGCCAGCAUAUGGAGCCUGAGAGAGGAUAUGCUAAGGCAAAAGCGUUAUUAAAGGAGCAGUUUGGAAAUGAGCAAAGGAUUUCAUACGCAUAUAUGGAAAAAGCUCUUUCAUGGCCGUCAAUCAAGAAUGAGGAUGUAAAGGCUCUUCGAGAUUACAGCCUUUUUCUCAGAGGUUGCUGUAACGUCAUGGAAGAGGUGCAAUAUCUGCAUGAAUUGAACAUCCCGGCUAACAUGCUAACCAUCAUAAAAAAAUUGCCAUACAAAUUCCGGGACAAGUGGCGUUCUGCAGCCUGUGAACUACAGGAAAGGCACAGUCGGAGAGCUACACUCAUUGACAUCACAAACUUCAUAGAGAGACAAGUACGGAUUCUAACAGACCCAGUGUUUGGAAACAUACAGGACGCACCAUCACUGAUGACUAAUAGAGGAGUGAACAAGGCUAAUCCACAAACUCGUUCUGCAAUUAAGGGAACCAGCUCUGCCACCACUGUAGCCCCUGCGAUAAACAGAACUCAGCCUGGAACUAAAGGAAAAGAGCAUAUCGAGUCUGCUAGGAGGACAUGCAUCUGUUGUGGAGAAGGACAUGCUUUGAAUUCGUGUCCACAGUUGGGGAAGAAGACACACAAAGAGAAGAUAGGCUUCUUAAGAGAGAAGAGUGUCUGUUUUGGCUGUUUGUGUAUUGGACACAUCAGCAAAGUUUGCAGAAAACGGAUUACCUGUACAAAGUGUGGUCUCAAACAUCCAACUGUUCUUCACAUUCCUCAAAAAGAAAAGGACAAAGACUCAGACCAAGCUGAGAGGAAAUCAGAGGUGUCCGUCGACAGCGCUCUGAUGUCAAGUGGGCUUACAGGGGCUGGUGAUCACGACUGCAAACUUCCUAUAGUUCCAGUGCAAGUUAAGUCCAAGAAGGGCAGUAAGAUUGUCACUACCUAUGCUUUCUUGGACCCAGGAAGUACUGCAGUAUUCUGUACAGAAGCUUUAAGAGAAAAACUCAAUAUUGCAGGAAAGAAAGUCCACAUUCUCCUACGGACGAUGGGCCAAGAGAAAGUGGUGAGCAGCCACAUGGUGCCAGGACUGGAAGUGGCUGGCUUGACUGGGGAGCAUUUCUGUGAGCUGCCCAAGGCUUACACUCAAGCACACAUGCCUGUUCACAAGGGAAACAUUCCAAAACAGAGUGAUAUUCAGAAAUGGCCUUAUUUGAAGCAUGUUCAUUUGCCUGAGAUUGAUGCAGGGAUUGAGCUGUUGAUUGGGACAAAUGUCGCUAAAGCCUUGGAACCCUUGCAAGUGAUUCGCAGUGUUGGAGAUGGACCCUAUGCAAUCAGGACAAUGCUGGGCUGGACGGUGAAUGGGCCGCUGAGAGAAGACAAUGAUGAUGCAGUGGACGGUGAGCAGCCAGAGUUAACAGUGAACAGAGUGUCAGUUGUGACUUUGGACGAACUUUGGCAGCAGCAGUUUAAGACAGACUUCCCUGAAUGCAGCUUGGAGGAAGGGCCAGGCAUGUCAAGAGAAGAACAAAAGUUCAUGAAGCUGGUUGCAAAUUCAGCAAAGCAGGUCAGUGGUCAUUAUCAGAUCAACCUGCCAUUGAGGAAUAAGGACGUUAGUAUGCCAAAUAAUAGGAAAAUCAUUGAGCAGCGUGCCUUACACCUGAAGAAGAGGCUUCAGAAGGAUUCCUCAUUUCAUGCUGACUACAAGGCCUUCAUGAAUGAUCUUGUUGUCAAAGGCUAUGCUGAAAGGGUGCCUGAAGAGGAUUUGGAACGUAGUGAUGGCAGGGUUUGGUACAUCCCGCACCAAGGUGUUUACCAUCCUACAAAGAAGAAGAUCAGGGUUGUUUUUGACUGUGGAGCAAGUUUCCAAGGAACAUCACUUAAUGCUCAACUCUUACAGGGCCCAGAUCUUACAAGUUCGCUGAUUGGAGUGAUGAGCAGGUUCAGGAAAUAA